rnacentral:rRNA from 1 species
UUACUGUACCGGUGGUUGCGCGGGGAAGGUGCCUCGCUCACCUGAUAAAAGCUACCCUGGGGAUACCAGGCUUAUCUCCCCCAAGAUUCCACUUCGACGGGGAGGUUUGGCACCUCGAUGUCGGCUCAUCACAUCCUGGGGCGGUAGUAGGUCCCAAGGGUUGGGCUGUUCGCACAUUAAAGUGGUACGCGAGCUGGGUUCAGAACGUCGUUAGACAGUUCGGUCCCUAUCCGUCGCAGGCGUAGGAAAUUUGAGAAGACCUGUCCUUAGUACGAGCGGACCGGGAUGGACGUACCUCUGGUGUACCCGUUGUCCUGCCAAGGGCAUGGCUGGGUAGCUAUGUCCGGAAUGGAUAAGCGCUGAAAGAAUCUAAGCGCGAAGCCAACUUCAAGAUAAGAUUCCCCACCGCAAGGGUAAGACCCCAGAAAGACUAUCUGGUUGAUAGGUCGAAGGUGUAAGUGCAGCAA